rnacentral:rRNA from 1 species
UCCAGAGUUUUGAUCAUGGCUCAGGAUGAACGCUGGCGGCGUGCCUAAUACAUGCAAGUCGAGCGAAUGGAUUAAGAGCUUGCUCUUAUGAAGUUAGCGGCGGACGGGUGAGUAACACGUGGGUAACCUGCCCAUAAGACUGGGAUAACUCCGGGAAACCGGGGCUAAUACCGGAUAACAUUUUGAACCGCAUGGUUCGAAAUUGAAAGGCGGCUUCGGCUGUCACUUAUGGAUGGACCCGCGUCGCAUUAGCUAGUUGGUGAGGUAACGGCUCACCAAGGCAACGAUGCGUAGCCGACCUGAGAGGGUGAUCGGCCACACUGGGACUGAGACACGGCCCAGACUCCUACGGGAGGCAGCAGUAGGGAAUCUUCCGCAAUGGACGAAAGUCUGACGGAGCAACGCCGCGUGAGUGAUGAAGGCUUUCGGGUCGUAAAACUCUGUUGUUAGGGAAGAACAAGUGCUAGUUGAAUAAGCUGGCACCUUGACGGUACCUAACCAGAAAGCCACGGCUAACUACGUGCCAGCAGCCGCGGUAAUACGUAGGUGGCAAGCGUUAUCCGGAAUUAUUGGGCGUAAAGCGCGCGCAGGUGGUUUCUUAAGUCUGAUGUGAAAGCCCACGGCUCAACCGUGGAGGGUCAUUGGAAACUGGGAGACUUGAGUGCAGAAGAGGAAAGUGGAAUUCCAUGUGUAGCG